rnacentral:tmRNA from 1 species
GGGGAUGUUUUUGGUUUCGACGGGGGUGUGGAAGCCGGAUAAGCGAGCCGUAGUCGCCAAGUCUACGUUAAAAGUGGCCGUUUAAAUACAAACGCUAAAAAGAAUAAUAAUUUCGCACCUAUGGCUAUGGCUGCGUAGUCAGUCAUAAGCUGUGCGUGUCAGCUUCGGUUUACCUGUAGGCCGGAUGUCUGGCAUCGAUUAUACAGGAAAACCUUGCGAGAGUUCCCGGUAUCGUAAGGGAAUAACGGGAUAGCUGAUCGUAAAGCCUGCUUUUGGGCGAUGCGAGAAGUGAAAUAAUAAAACAAAAGCUUCGCUCGGAGAAAAUCCGGUGGAAAUGCUUUCGGACACGGGUUCCAAACCCCG